GAUGAACGCUGGCGGCGUGCCUAAUACAUGCAAGUCGAACGAAACUUCUUUAUCACCGAGUGCUUGCACUCACCGAUAAAGAGUUGAGUGGCGAACGGGUGAGUAACACGUGGGCAACCUGCCCAAAAGAGGGGGAUAACACUUGGAAACAGGUGCUAAUACCGCAUAACCAUAGUUACCGCAUGGUAACUAUGUAAAAGGUGGCUAUACUACCGCUUUUGGAUGGGCCCGCGGCGCAUUAGCUAGUUGGUAGGGUAAAGGCCUACCAAGGCAAUGAUGCGUAGCCGAAUUGAGAGGUUGAUCGGCCACAUUGGGACUGAGACACGGCCCAAACUCCUACGGGAGGCAGCAGUAGGGAAUCUUCCACAAUGGGCGAAAGCCUGAUGGAGCAACGCCGCGUGGGUGAAGAAGGUCUUCGGAUCGUAAAACCCUGUUGUUAGAGAAGAAAGUGCGUGAGAGUAACUGUUCACGUUUCGACGGUAUCUAACCAGAAAGCCACUGCUAACUACGUG
rnacentral:rRNA from 1 species